rnacentral:rRNA from 1 species
UGUCUUUAUGGCAAAUGUGAGAUGCAGUGUAUGGAAUGUCAAAUUUCUAGUAUGAGAAAUUAACGAUUUAAGUCCUUCUUAAAUGAGGCCAUUUACCCAAAGAGGGUGCCAGGCCCGUAUAACGUUAAUGAUUACUAGAUGGCAUUUCCAAAGAGUCGUGUUGCUUGAUAGUGCAGCACUAAGUGGGUGGUAAACUCCAUCUAAAACUAAAUAUAACCAUGAGACCGAUAGUAAACAAGUACCGUGAGGGAAAGUUGAAAAGAACUCUGAAUAGAGAGUUAAAUAGUACGUGAAACUGCUUAGAGGUUAAGCCCGAUGAACCUGAAUAUCCAUUAUGGAAAAUUCAUCAUUAUGAUUUUAAUAUUUAUAAUAUUAUAAUAAUGGUGUGCAUUUUUUCCAUAUAAGGACAUUGUAAUCUAUUAACAAACAGAUUUAUUAAAAGAUCAUUGGCUUUAGUUUAUUCAAAUUAUUUUGCUUGCAAUUUAACAUAGAAUAAAUGCUUUUGAUUUGAUAAAGUGUUGAUAGAUUUAUUAUAUAUAGUGCUUGAAUAUAUUUAUAUAUUCUAUAAUAGCAUAUUGAUCAAUGAUUUUUAUGUUCAUUAUAUGCACUUAUAUGAUUAACAAUGCGAAAGAUUCAGGAUACCUUCGGGACCCGUCUUGAAACACGGACCAAGGAGUCUAACAUAUUUGCAAGUUAUUGGGAAUUAAAAACCUAAUAGCGAAAUUAACAUAACUUAUAUAAUGGGAUUAGUUUUAAGGUCUAUUUUAUAGUCUUUUAAUUCAAUCCCGGGGCGUUCUAUACAGUUAUGUAUAAUAAUAGUAAUAUUAUUUAUACCUCUAACUAGAGCGUACCUUGAGCAUAUAUGCUGUGACCCGAAAGAUGGUGAACUAUACUUGAUCAGGUUGAAGUCAGGGGAAACCCUGAUGGAAGACCGAAACAGUUCUGACGUGCAAAUCGAUUGUCAGAAUUGAGU